AGAUGGGAUUAUGAAUGAGAUUAAUUUACCUAUUGCUUUGAUUGGCUGAUAUGAUGGCCCCAGUACUAAACAGAAUGCGAUCAUCC